CGGAUUCGGAACUGUCUUCCACCAGGGGCACUCACAUCACCGUGAUAGGGACAAGGCGGGACAAGGCGGCAGCAAGUACCGGCCUCUCUUUGCCAAUACCCGAACCUUCUCCGCGCCACG
rnacentral:rRNA from 1 species